CAGCCAAUGCAGCUCCUGGACUGACUGGACAACUGCUACCAAAGGCUGGAUGUGACUUCCAGAAGGUCUCUAGCGGUCAAGAGAUCGACAAAACCACCCCCAGCUGAUCGGCGCCAAGAUGGCGGCAGACGAGCAGCCGUGUCGCCCUCGUUCUCUCAGAGACGAGAACCCGAACAGCUACACCCGCCAGGUCGCCUUCUCCAGAGCCACAGAAGCCAGGUACAUGAAUUCUGACCGCAGGAGAAACGCUGCCAUGGAUUUAUGCUGACUUGAGCCUACACAGCCUUGCUCCAGCCCUGCAGAAUGUUGUUACCUAG